CUGAGAUCUAGCAACUUGACCGUGACUGCCUAUCCCAUCCUUCUGGUCUCUUUCAGAAAAGCAAUUCCAGACUGAGAUGUUUCAAGGGCUACACAGCUCUCCAAGUUUUUCCUCUUAAGGCAUGGCAGACCCUUCACCAUUUUGGUCUCCCUCUUCUGGACCCCCUCUGACUUGGAAACAUCCUUUUUGAAUUGUGGUGCCCAGAACUGGACACAAUAUUCCAGGUUUUGGCCUGGCAGUCUGAGGAAUGGUACUAACCUGGGAACCCUGGUAUACUCUGGGCUGGCAAGGAAGGCAAAGAAGCAUUUGUUCUCUACUACGGCACCAUCUCCAUGUCAUCCAGUGGAGUUUAGGUUUGUUUUCCCCAACAGGUAUGCAGCCUUUUGCAACCAGUCUAGAGAGGAAAUGUAGAAACGACUGCAGCUGGCAAUGUUUUAGACACAAGACCCUUUGGGAGCAAAAGCAUGUGCAUCCCUCAUGACUUGGAUCCCUUGGAUGAUAUACUGUGUGGGUUUUUAAAAAUAAUGUUGAUCAAAGCUUUGCCAAGAACAAGCGUAAACAUACCCUCCGACAGUUUACAGAGGAAAAUGGAGGUCCAAAACACACGGCAGAAAUAAUCCAAUUUGAGACCGCUUUAACUGCCCCAGCUCAAUGUUAGGGGAUUCUGGGAACAGUCGUUUUGUGAGACAUUUAGCCUUCUCUGUCAGAGAGCUCUGGUGCCAUGAUAAACUACAAUGUCUGGAGUUCCCUAGAACUCAGCCAGGGUAGUUAAAGUGGUCUCAAACUGGAUUAUUUCGGCAGUGUGUUUUGGACCUGAAAUACAUGAAGCCAAGUAAUAUCCAAGCAUAGUCAAGUUAUUAAUGCAGAAGAAUGCACAAGCCAGGAGAGGCUACAGCAGUUUGCUUUUGGCUGAACCUCCUGGAAAGGGCAAGAUCUUGCCCCCUCCUCUCCCCACUCCUCUUGAAUUAAAUGCAUUUUAAUCUCAGUUUGCAGCAAUUGAAAUAAGCUUAGGACAAAGGAGGAAAGUGGGAGAAAAAGAGGAACCAAGACAUUUUAAAAGCAGCUGAAGCAGUGGAAUGGCAGAGCAUUAAUCAGGAUUAAUGCACACUUUUGGAAAGCCUGCAUUCACCCUCUCCCCUUUGGCAAAGAGUUGCUGAUGGAGCAUUAAUGCCAUCCUGCACAUGUGGAGCACCUUGAGCAUUUCAGAGUUUGCACUGAACAAGACAUAUUCUCCUUUGAUGAAGCCCCAGGGCAUCGCCGCUGUUGUCUGUUGUUGUUGUUUAUCAAAAAAUUGAUUUUAUUGGCUUAUAGGGGAACCAGAGUAGCCAGAAAACAGUGAGUCAAACUGAGUGUAGUCAAAGUCAACGUGACCUUGCUGAGAAAAUGCAAGCUUGAGAAAAUGGCCAGACGUUCCUUCUCAGGGUUCAGCUGAAGUCCAGGAUGGUGAAAGGGUGGCAUGCAGGCUGCCUAUGUGCCAUCAAAGCUAUUUCUUAGGCCCAAAUGUUCCUUCAGUCCUUCGGUUUCUAGCAUUAAAGUAAUUUAAACCUUCAGCAGAGCCUUUAGAAAUGCCACGUGGACAUCAAGGGUGCAUCUACACUGUAGAAAAAAAUGCAGUUUGACCCCACUUUAAGUGCAGUCACUCCAUCCUAUGGAAUCAUGGUAGCUGUAGUUUUUACAAGUUCUUGAGCUUCUCUGCCAAAGCAUGCUGGUGCCUCACAAAUCUGCAAACCCCAGGCUUUGGAUUAAAGUGCUGUCCAACUAUGUUAUGUCUACAAAUAAACGUGCUAAGAAAACCCUGCCUUAGGGUUGCCAUAUGAGAAUGACUUCGGGGCACGCAAUGACAACAAAUAUAAAGUUACACAAUAUCGAUGAUGUUAAAGAAUUCCAGUGAUAAUGACUGAUGAUGAAGAUGACAUUCCUUUAUAUCCUACCUUUGCCCCUCCAAAAAUGGAAAUCAAGGCAAUUUAUAGUUCAUUUAAACAGAUUUUAAAAUAUACCAAAAAUUAGUAUGUAUGUCUAUGUGUCUAUAUAUAUAUGUGUGUGUGUGUCCCAUUUUAAAAAACAGCGAAACAACCUCUAGAGUUAACACUGCUUAAAAUUCCUUAAAGGACCAUGUAAACAUUGGCAUGCCAGUGAUUUGCUUCCAAUGCGAUGCACGUGUUCUAAUCUUUUCAACCUGUUUUAACUUGUUAAUGUGCUUGAUAUGUUUUUAGUCUGUUGAAAUAAUGUUCAUUGUCUGCCCUUGUUGGAAUACUGAGUAUCUGUAUGCUGCCUUGAGAUCUUUGGAUAGAGGGCAGGAUAGAAAUGUUUUGAAUAAAUAGAUUAUAGACCACCCAGCCUUCUCAUGAUGGCCUCCUUCACGACUCUUUCUAAGAAGCCUGGGCAACAGGAGGUCUCUCUUGGUAGAGAGAUGAUUUGGCUAAAAUUGGAUAGAUGAGGUGGCCUGGA